rnacentral:tRNA from 1 species
GGUAGCGUGGGCGAGUGGUCUAAGGCGCUGGUUUUAGGCACCAGUCAUUUCGAUGACGUGGGUUCGAAUCCCACCGCUGCCA